CCUCCAUCCCCAAAAGUCAAAACCCACGAAACCAUCACCCACCUUCCUUCCUAAAACCCAACCAUGUCUGCACAAAAAAAUCUCAAACAAUAAUUUAAAAAAAUUCCAAAAUUUUCCGACGACCACCACUCCUCCUCCUUUCAAGGGUGUUACGAAGAAUCAGAUUCUGGAGAGAGACCCAAAAUUUCGUAUCAAAUAUUGAAAUCAAACAAAACCAACAAAAAGAUUGGUUGCGAAUUUCUUAAAACCGGGCAGAAAUUAAAGGACUGUGAUGAAGGGGGAGGAUCGGUCGAGGAAAUGUGAAAACGGGGUGGUGGUGGAGACGAGGAGAGAGAGAGAGAGAGAGAGAGAGAGAGAGAGAGAGAGAGAGAGAGGAAGAAGAAGGGGCCAAAUUCCAUAUUCAACUUUUUGAUUUGGUUUUCUCCAUUAAUGAACAUUGGAGAAAAUUUGUUCAGAAAAAUAAAAGAAGGGCACAACACGAA